rnacentral:ncRNA from 1 species
AAAGACGAUAGAGGUUGCGCUUUUCAUCAGUAAUCUGUCGGAUGCAGCAGCUGCAGAUGAAGACAGAGGAAAGGGAACGGCGCCGAAAGAGGUUGAGUGCUGUGCUCAGCAGACUUGGGCAUACGGGAAAUACCUGUAUGACUGUCACUUCCGAAAUGAAGUGGGGCGCUAUCAAAAUC